GCCCAGGUGGCGGAAUUGGUAGACGCGAUGGUCUCAAACACCAUUGAGGUUAAACUCAUGCCGGUUCGAUCCCGGCCCUGGGUACCA
rnacentral:tRNA from 1 species